UACGGGGGGAGCAAGCGUUGUUCGGAUUUACUGGGCGUAAAGGGCGCGUAGGCGGCCACCGCAAGUCAGUUGUGAAAGCUCUGGGCUUAACCCAGAAAGGUCAACUGAUACUGCGGGGCUAGAGUGCAGAAGGGGCAACUGGAAUUCUCGGUGUAGCGGUGAAAUGCGUAGAUAUCGAGAGGAACACCUGCGGCGAAGGCGGGUUGCUGGGCUGACACUGACGCUGAUGUGCGAAAGCUAGGAGCGAACGGG
rnacentral:rRNA from 1 species